rnacentral:misc_RNA from 1 species
GAAAUGCGAUAAGUAGUGUGAAUUGCAGAAUUCAGUGAAUCAUCGAAUCUUUGAACGCACAUUGCGCCCUUUGGUAUUCCUUAGGGCAUGCCUAUUCGAGCGUCAUCUAAACCUUCAAGCCCUGCUUGGUGUUGGGUGCCUGUCCCGCCUCCGCGCGCGGACUCACCUCAAAUCCAUUGGCGGCCCCCGCGUCGGCCACGAGCGCAGCAGAAACGCGAACUCGUGAGCCCGUCCGGGCGGCUCCCAGAAGCUACACCCACCCAGUUUGACCUCGGAUCAGGUAGGGAUACCCGCUGAACUUAAGC